CACUACAUAACACAGCUACAAAGUCUGAUUCAAAGAGACAGUCUAAAUUGGCUACAAACAAAUUAGCAUUUUGGUCUUCAUUUAAGGUUAGGCAUAAUGUUAACAGUGUGCUUGAAAAUCAGAUUUUAAGAAGAUCAAUUUUAGAAAUGGGCGGAGUUUAUCCAUAAUUAUGACUUUGUGGUUGUGUUAACUAGUGACGAUCCCAGUUUAUCGACUUGAGAUUAGCAGCAGAAACCGAAAAUGUCGGAUCCCACGGUUGCAGACACUCGCCGAUUAAACUCUAAACCGCAGGAUCUUACAGAUGCGUAUGGCCCCCCAAGCAAUUUUCUUGAAAUCGACGUUUAUGACCCACAAACUACUGGAGUCGGCCGGAACCGAUUUACCACUUAUGAAGUGAGAAUGCAGACAAACCUUCCCAUCUUCAAACUUAAGGACUCUGUUGUGCGAAGAAGGUACAGUGAUUUUGAGUGGCUGAAGAAUGAGCUGGAGAGAGACAGUAAGAUUGUGGUGCCCCCUCUCCCUGGCAAAGCUUUGAAGAGACAGCUGCCCUUCCGAGGAGAUGAGGGCAUCUUUGAGGACUCCUUCAUUGAGGAGCGGAGGGUAGGCUUGGAACAGUUUAUCAACAGACUCGCAGGUCAUCCCCUGGCCCAGAAUGAGCGCUGUCUUCACAUGUUCCUUCAGGAUGAGUCCAUUGACCGGAACUACAUUCCUGGAAAAAUUUCCAUCCAACAUUUUUACGUGAGUGAAGUACGUGAGUGAAGUAUGUCGGAUGAAAAUAUCAGGGCUGAUGGAAACGGCAAAUUUGUCUGGAAAAUGUCCAAAUAUCUACAAAACAAAAUACACUAGACAAGGUGUGAAUAAACAGCCCCAGAGAUGAAAAUGAUGUCUACUCAGCCCAUCUUCUCAACCCUACACCCCCUGGCUGUUUGGCUUUAUCACUAGAGCCCACGCUGUCUCUUCCAUAGGUGGCCCAUCCUCCUAGACAACUGCAUCUGCUGGAACUCUCUGUAAAUACUGUGUACAUAUAUACAUAUCUUAUUUGUAGUUGGUCUGGGGAAGCUCUGGGGGUAUUCACAUGCAGAGCAUUUAACUUGUAGCAGAAGCCUGAGGGUGGGGAAGGUGAAUUUAUAAAACGAUUAGUAACAAGUUAGUAAGUUACCUUUUAUGAAACAUGAUUUUUCUGGAGUUAAACUUGAGGCUUAUUAAGUAAGUAGGUGUUGGUAAUAAUUAUAACACUUAAUUUUUGGAAUGAGAAAAUAUUGUUUUAGUAACAAGUUGGCUUCCUAACUCAUGAAUUCUGCUUGGUGAAAUAUAAUUGUGUACAUUUCUCAUGUGAAAAUGACAGUCUGCCAAAAAGACUUUCCCCUGAGCAACCAGUUUCUCAGUUAAAGAUCGAUCUCCGAAGGGAAACCUGGCCAACCUGACUCACCAACACAAAGCAUUCUAUUACUUUCCAUUAAGAUUAUUUUUACAUUACUUGACAACUUAUUUACAAAUCUUGAUAGAGGAAUGAUUCCAUAGUGUAAUAGAAAAAAAUGACAAGUAUCAGGAUCAAGUCUUGGGGACAAAUAUUCAUUCGUACCACCUCAAUGGUCAUCAGACUCCAUUGCACUUGAUGUAAUAGUAGGGAUCUUAACGCCAAUGUGUUGGGAAAACUCCCAACCUAGAUUCUCGCAACCGUGGUCACAAUCAUUUCCAACCUCUCUCCUCUACUGCAACACUAUUGUAGGUUGUUGUAAAUGAGAAUAUUUUAUAUCAAUUUACCUGGUAAAAUAAAGCUCAAUCAAUAACAAGAAUGUCCAGCAGGAUACUUAUUUUGCUUACACUCGCAGAUACAGGGUUGUCUUAGAAGGAAAUAUUAUUCGGUAUUUAGGUGCUUCUGUUUAAUGUGUGGGGUGAGGCUCAUGCAGCCGGAAAUGUCUGUAAUCAAGCACCAAAGACAGUUUCUGCUUCAUUGUGAUAUGUUUCCUGAAACAUCUCGGCCUCACCUCAACUAAACUGAUGGCUAGUUGCCAAACAUUUCAUUGGUGUUCUAUGUUCAUGUGUUUUUGACCAUUCAAAUACAUAAAGGCUGUUUUUUUCUGAUUUAAAUUUGUUGACCACAAUGUACUGUUAGUUUAUUAAACCACUGAAAAUCUA